rnacentral:rRNA from 1 species
CGCACGGUGGAUGCCUUGGCACUAGGAGCCGAAGAAGGACGGGACUAACACCGAUAUGCUUUGGGGAGCUGUACGUAAGCGUUGAUCCAGAGAUUUCCGAAUGGGGGAACCCACUAUCUUUAGUCGGAUAGUAUCCUUACGUGAAUACAUAGCGUGAGGAAGGCAGACCCAGGGAACUGAAACAUCUAAGUACCUGGAGGAAGAGAAAGAAAAAUCGAUUUCCUGAGUAGCGGCGAGCGAAACGGAAAGAGCCCAAACCAAGAAGCUUGCUUCUUGGGGUUGUAGGACACUCUAUACGGAGUUACAAAAGAAAGUUAUAAAUGAAGCGGUCUGGAAAGGCCCGCCAAAGACGGUAACAGCCCGGUAGUUGAAAUGGCUUUCCCUCCAGAGUGGAUCCUGAGUACGGCGGAACACGUGAAAUUCCGUCGGAAUCCGGGAGGACCAUCUCCCAAGGCUAAAUACUCCCUAGUGACCGAUAGUGAACCAGUACCGUGAGGGAAAGGUGAAAAGCACCCCGGAAGGGGAGUGAAACAGUUCCUGAAACCGUGU